rnacentral:tRNA from 1 species
AGCCCCGAGGUGUUGUACACGUUGGAUUGCAAAUCCAGAGAUGCAGGCUAAUUACCUGCCGGGGCUU